ACGGAAGGCAGCAGUGGGGAAUUUUGGGCAAUGGGCGAAAACCUGACCCAGCAACGCCGCGUGAAGGAAGAAGGCCUUCGGGUUGUAAACUUCUUUUACCAGGGACGAAGGACGUGACGGUACCUGGAGAAAAAGCAACGGCUAACUACGUGCCAGCAGCCGCGGUACUACGUAGGUUGCAAGCGUUGUCCGGCUUUACUGGGUGUAAAGGGCGUGUAGGCGGAACUGCAAGUCAGAUGUGAAAUCCCGGGGCUCAACCCCGGAACUGCAUUUGAAACUGUAGUCCUUGAGUAUCGGAGAGGCAAUCGGAAUUCCUAGUGUAGCGGUGAAAUGCGUAGAUAUUAGGAGUAACACCAGUGGCGAAGGCGGCUUGCUGGACGACAACUGACGCUGAGGCGCGAAAGCGUUGGGAGCAAACAGGAUUAGAUACCCUGGUA
rnacentral:rRNA from 1 species